CAGAAAACCCCACUGGAAGUUGGACUGUAAGCGGCCCCUGUAAGGACCGCCCCCAUCCCUUCCUGAGCCAGCCAAAAACCUCCUACUCUCAUUGGCCUUGCUGCUGAAGACUGACGGUGCCCUGGAAUGGAUGCCCCAGCAACUACCAUCGCUUCAUCCGAGCCAAGGGUAACCCUGAUGGUGGCAGACCCAGUCGCAAGGCGCAAGGCCGCUUGCACCAGCAGCGCGCGUCAGCGAGAAGCAGAAGCAGGAAGAGGGCCGGCCGGAAGACACGCACCCCGGCCGGAAGACACCUACCCCGGCCGGAAGACACGCACCCCGGCCGGAAGACACCUACCCCGGCCGGAAGACACGCACCCCGGCCGGAAGACACGCACCUGAGGAUGGAGAGAGGCCGUCUGGCUACUACGUGGCAGUCACGUCAGACUGGGACACUUCCUGUUUGCAGAGAACUAUAAAAUCCCUGCCCUGUCCUCACUUGGUGCUGACACCAUUUUAGGCCUCAGCCCGCCGGCACCCAGGUGCUCAUUAAAACAGCAUGUUGCUCCACACCGCCUUGUGUUGUCCGUUGGCGCGCUCUUGGGGUUUGAACCAAUACAAAAACCUUUCAAUGCCUUUAAUUACCGUUAGUAUAUAGCAGCUCCACGCACUAUGAAAUGCCCAGAGUCUGGACAGGCUGCCGGAAUUGAAAUCUUGGAUCUGCUGCGUGUCCCUCAGCAACUUCUAUCACUGUAUGGCCCAUCUGUAAAAUGGGCAUGAUGAUUGUGCCUCCUUUGCAGGGUGAUCAUGAAGAUUCAGUGAGCUGCUAUGUGCCAAGCUCUUCCAAGAGGGCCUGGCGUUUCAGCAGGUGCCAUGGGAGGUAAAUGGUGAAUAACGCAAGUCUCUUCUUCCCAGUCAUAGGAAGGCUCCUGAGUCUUGUUCUGCUGGCCUGAUCAUCAUCUACCACAGGGAGGGCAGGUUGAGGUACAGAUAAAAUCUUGAAGAAAAAGCGUCCCUCGCCACUCCCAGCCCUCACCCCUCCAUCACCCCAGCUCAGGUUAAGGGCUUGCAGGCACAGCUGCACCUCUGCCCAGGCAGCCCCAGGGCGGUGCCCUGGAGCCACUUCUACAGACUCCUAGGAAAUUGCUCAGAGCCACGCAGCAGUGUUGAGACUGGAAUCCGGGCAGGGCCCACCGCUUCGUCUCCCUAGAGAGCACUUGCAGACCUCUCUGGAAAACAGGCAGAUUGGAGAUUGGAGUUGGGAGAACUGAAUACCCCCAAGUUAGUGGCGCACAAAUGAUGUUUCCAUGACUUAUGCCGGAAAGUCAAUACAGUUACCAAGACAACUAUGGACUAGGACGCACCACCAUACUCAGACCUGGACCCUGCCUGAGCCUCUGCUGCAGCACGGUUGGAUUAAACCCAUCCCAAAAGUGAUGCUUUGGGAUUGCAAAAAUAGCUGCCCCUCUGAGGAGACAGGAGGGAGCUGUGAGGGUCACAGGACAGCAGAGCCACGGUGUCCUGGAUUUUCCUAAGCCCCUUUCCGAUGGGGCUGGUGGCUGCGGUGGCUCUGACUGGGCAAAGGAGAGGGCAUGGGUGGCGAGUGGCUCCUAGGCAUUUCCAGGCAAGGGAAGCCCUCCUCUCCCAAAGGCCCUUCUCCCCGACCCCAUUUCAAAACAGACCAGGGUCUUCCUUUCAAAACCUUUGUUUUCUUCUCUGGGUGUGUCUUCACUUCACUGUUACUGUCAGGCCUGAGGCUCAGCAGACGUCCUAUCUUCAGCCACGCCCUAAGACUGAGCACAGCCUGGGGAAAGACCACCCUCUAGAGCAGCGCUCCAGGCUCCACCUGGAGCUGAGGGAGAGGCGCCCAGGCCGGGGAGGGAAACUGCCCGGCUUCAGCCAUGCCUCUGUC
rnacentral:lncRNA from 10 species